rnacentral:rRNA from 1 species
GGCUUAGAGUUUGAUCAUGGCUCAGGAUAAACGCUGGCGGCGCACAUAAGACAUGCAAGUCGAACGGACUUAACUCGAAGUUUACUUUGAGAGCGGUUAGUGGCGGACUGGUGAGUAACACGUAAGCAACCUGCCUAUCAGAGGGGAAUAACAGUGAGAAAUCAUUGCUAAUACCGCAUAUGCUUACACUAUCGCAUGAUAGAGUAAGGAAAGGAGCAAUCUGCUGAUAGAUGGGCUUGCGUCUGAUUAGCUAGUUGGUGAGGUAACGGCUUACCAAGGCGACGAUCAGUAGCCGGACUGAGAGGUUGAACGGCCACAUUGGGACUGAGAUACGGCCCAGACUCCUACGGGAGGCAGCAGUCGGGAAUAUUGCGCAAUGGAGGAAACUCUGACGCAGUGACGCCGCGUAUAGGAAGAAGGUUUUCGGAUUGUAAACUAUUGUCGUUAGGGAAGAUACAAGACAGUACCUAAGGAGGAAGCACCGGCUAACUAUGUGCCAGCAGCCGCGGUAAUACAUAGGGUGCGAGCGUUAUCCGGAAUUAUUGGGUGUAAAGGGUGCGUAGAUGGGAAGACAAGUUAGUUGUGAAAUCCCUCGGCUCAACUGAGGAACUGCAACUAAAACUAUCUUUCUUGAGUGUCGGAGAGGAAGUG